UACGUAGGGUGCAAGCGUUAAUCGGAAUUACUGGGCGUAAAGCGUGCGCAGGCGGUUUUGUAAGUCUGUCGUGAAAUCCCCGGGCUCAACCUGGGAAUUGCGAUGGAGACUGCAAGGCUAGAAUCUGGCAGAGGGGGUGGAAUUCCGCGUGUAGCAGUGAAAUGCGUAGAGAUGCGGAGGAACACCGAUGGCGAAGGGCAGCCCCCUGGGCUAACACUGACGCUCAGGCACGAAGCGUGGGGAGCAAACAGG
rnacentral:rRNA from 1 species